rnacentral:rRNA from 1 species
AGAGUUUGAUCCUGGCUCAGGAUGAACGCUGGCGGCGUGCCUAACACAUGCAAGUCGAGCGGGAAUCGAAUGAAUGAAACUUCGGUCGAAUGAUUUCGAGGAGAGUGGCGGACGGGUGAGUAACGCGUAGGCAACCUGCCCCAUUCACAGGGAUAGCCACUGGAAACGGUGAUUAAAACCUGAUGACACCGAGGAUUCACAUGUAACUUCGGUCAAAGAUUUAUCGGAAUGGGAUGGGCCUGCGUCUGAUUAGAUAGUUGGUGAGGUAACGGCCCACCAAGUCAACGAUCAGUAGCCGACCUGAGAGGGUGAUCGGCCACAUUGGAACUGAGACACGGUCCAAACUCCUACGGGAGGCAGCAGUGGGGAAUAUUGCACAAUGGGGGAAACCCUGAUGCAGCAACGCCGCGUGAAGGAUGAAGGUCUUCGGAUUGUAAACUUCUGUCCUAGGGGAAGAUAAUGACGGUACCCUUGGAGGAAGCCCCGGCUAACUACGUGCCAGCAGCCGCGGUAAUACGUAUGGUGCAAGCGUUAUUCGGAUUUACUGGGUGUAAAGGGAGCGUAGACGGCAUGGCAAGUCUGAAGUGAAAUGCGGGGGCUCAACCCCUGAACUGCUUUGGAAACUGUCAAGCUAGAGUGUCGGAGAGGUAAGUGGAAUUCCUAGUGUAGCGGUGAAAUGCGUAGAUAUUAGGAGGAACACCAGUGGCGAAGGCGGCUUACUGGACGAUAACUGACGUUGAGGCUCGAAAGCGUGGGGAGCAAACAGGAUUAGAUACCCUGGUAGUCCACGCUGUAAACGAUGAUUACUAGGUGUUGGGGGACUAAUAAGUCUUCGGUGCCGCCGCUAACGCAAUAAGUAAUCCACCUGGGGAGUACGUUCGCAAGAAUGAAACUCAAAGGAAUUGACGGGGACCCGCACAAGCGGUGGAGCAUGUGGUUUAAUUCGAAGCAACGCGAAAAACCUUACCAAAUCUUGACAUCCCGAUGAUCGUCUAUGUAAAGUAGAUUCUCUUCGGAGCAUUGGAGACAGGUGGUGCAUGGUUGUCGUCAGCUCGUGUCGUGAGAUGUUGGGUUAAGUCCCGCAACGAGCGCAACCCUUGCCUUUAGUAGCUAGCAGUUCGGCUGAGCACUCUAGAGGGACUGCCAGGGAUAACCUGGAGGAAGGUGGGGAUGACGUCAAAUCAUCAUGCCCCUUAUGAUUUGGGCUACACACGUGCUACAAUGGCGUAAACAAAGAGAAGCGAGCUCGCGAGGGUAAGCAAAUCUCAAAAAUAACGUCUCAGUUCGGAUUGUAGUCUGCAACUCGACUACAUGAAGCUGGAAUCGCUAGUAAUCGCGAAUCAGCAUGUCGCGGUGAAUACGUUACCCGGGUCUUGCACUCACCGCCCGUCA